GAGGAAUAUUGGUCAAUGGACGCAAGUCUGAACCAGCCAUGCCGCGUGCAGGAUGACGGUCCUAUGGAUUGUAAACUGCUUUUGUACGAGAAGAAACACUCCUAUGUACAGGAGCUUGACGGUAUCGUAAGAAUAAGGAUCGGCUAACUCCGUGCCAGCAGCCGCGGUAAUACGGAGGAUCCAAGCGUUAUCCGGAAUCAUUGGGUUUAAAGGGUCCGUAGGUGGUUUAGUAAGUCAGUGGUGAAAGCCCAUCGCUCAACGGUGGAACGGCCAUUGAUACUGCUGAACUUGAAUUACUGGGAAGUAACUAGAAUAUGGAGUGUAGCGGUGAAAUGCUUAGAUAUUACAUGGAAUACCAAUUGCGAAGGCAGGUUACUACCAGUUUAUUGACGCUGAUGGACGAAAGCGUGGGGAGCGAAC
rnacentral:rRNA from 1 species